GACGAACGCUGGCGGCGUGCUUAAUACAUGCAAGUCAACUUGACUUUAGAUAGCAAUAUCGAAAAGUAGGGUGGCGCACGGGUGCGUAACGCGUAGGUAAUCUGCCCUGAGGUCUGACAUAACCCGUCGAAAGGCGGCUAACAUCAGAUGAUAUAUGAUCACGACAUCGUGGAAAUAUCAAAUCUUCGGAGCCUUGGGAUGAGCCUGCGUCUGAUUAGGGUAGUUGGCGGAGUAAUAGCCCACCAAGCCUACGAUCAGUAGCUGGUCUGAGAGGAUGAUCAGCCACACUGGAACUGAGACACGGUCCAGACUCCUACGGGAGCAGCAGUAAGGAAUAUUGCUCAAUGGGGAAACCCUGAAGCAGC
rnacentral:rRNA from 1 species